ensembl:lncRNA
GACGUCAAAAAUGUUAUCUCCGUUUUUGAAGUGCGGAAAUGGACUUGAAACUGAGAGAUGAAUUGUCUCACCCAAGCUGACAAGAGCUCUGGAUUCGAACCCAAGACUCCUGUCUGCAGAUCCAGAUGGGUGAGCAGGAAAAGUGAUUCCAUUCAGAUGCCUGUUGUCCUUCUGACACUGGUUGAGCAGGAUCAAGAUGGACUAGUGGCCGGAAGCCUGGAAGGUACGCUCCAGACGGGGCACAGAAAAGUGGAGGAGCUUGUCCAAGGUCACAUCACCAGUAAAUGAUGAAGACUUCCGUGGUCAGAGGAUGAGAUGGUUGGAUGGCAUCACCGACUCGGUGGACAUGAGUUUGAGUAAGCUCCAGGAGUUGGUGAUGGACAGGGAAGCCUGGCGUGCUGCAGUCCGUGGGGUCGCAAAGAGUUGGACAGGGCUGAGCGACUGAACUGAACUCCCUGGUGGUCCAGUGAUUAAGAAUCCAUCUGUCAAUGCAGGGGACACGGGUUCUAUCCUUGGCCCGGGAAGACCCCAUACCCCGCAGGGCAACUAAGCCGGCGCACCACAACUUCUGAGCCUGCGCUCUAGAGCCCUUGAACCGGAACUACUGCGCCUGAACGCUGCAGCUACUGAAGUCCAUGCGCCUAGAGCCUGUGCUCCACAACAAAGGAAACUGCCGCAACGAGAAGCCAGGGCACCACAACAGAGAGCGGCCCCCACUCGAGGCAACUAGAGAAAGCCCACAAAGCAACAAACACCUGUGC